UCUAUUUGUGGACCAACUAGAAAUUUUCAAUGGAACAGUCACCCAUAUGUAUUUGGAAGGUUCAAUAAUAUCUCCACCUGGAUGGUCAAAGACUUGUAUUUUUACCUGGAUUUUCUCACAAUAUAACUUGGAGAUUUAAUGUGACCUCAUCCAUAAUUGCACGUGUUUGGUCCUUUAUCCCUCGUGGUGCUACUGCUGCUCAACGACGUGUAACGAUAACUGGUAAUGGUGAACCGCGAUAUGAUUCAUCACCUUUAACAUUUCAAGUUUUUGAACCUGAAACUCUGAUGUUAAAGAAUGUCAAUCAAACAGUGGUGUUUACACAUUUGCUAUCGUAGCUAAUACUGCUGACACACAACGAAAGUAAAUGUGUACAUUGCCU